UCAGAACAUGAGGACAUAUGAAAGCUGGUGGUUCCUUUUAACAUAAGUCUUCAAUAUUCCCAGUUUGACAUAUUUUACUACACUGACUCCACAAUUGAACUUCAUCUGAUGCUACGUGAGAUCAGGUUCCACUGUUCCUCUACGACCCGCGCCUACCCAGAGAGACCUGCAGCCUGUCGCCGCUUAACCCAGCUAUUCUCCUCUGCUGCUAAGAAGGGGGCUCUUUUGUAAUUAUCAGAAGGACUUUUUGUUUCAUUUGUCGCCCUCUCUGCGGGUUGUCUAUUUUUCCAUUAUCUACAUCUGAAGAGGAUCUAUGUCUUCCCUGUGUUAACAUUAAAGGACUCUGUUUUUGAAUACCGCUUUUGGGUCCUCACUCAAGUGCAUAACAAUUUUAUUAGGAAAAAUUUUGAUACACAAGAAUAAUCCCCUUCAUUUUUAAAUCUGAUUUGGAAAACUAUUUAGAGUCGUUAAAACGUAUACAAAACAAAAUGUUAAAAUGUAUUCGCUACAUGUCUGUAUUUGAAUUGAUAUAAUGUGGAUCAUUUUUAUUUUUUUCUAAUUUCUUUAUGGAAUCCCUCUGGCUGUUAUGUUUGGCAUGUUACUGUUAAUAAAAUAAAAACAUUG